rnacentral:lncRNA from 1 species
UACAUCAUAUAUGAUGUAUGCAUGUUUAUAUCUCGAUUAAGUAUUAAGGAGCCCUUUUAUAACUAGCUAGAAAAGACUGAGCUAGUCUUUUCUCGGCUAAAAUGUUAUGGUCACCCCAAUCUAUGGUUUCAUCUUUGUCAUCAAAUCUUUCCACUUCAGUCAUGGUCUGCCAUUCCUCAGUGGUGUUUACCCCAAUACCCCACAAGCGCGUUUGUUACAACCAUGUAGAAAUAGUAAGGUUCUAUUUACAUCCUCAUGACAUUAUGAUUAGGUUUGAAGUAGAAGCACUACCGUAGACAGUUCUUUGUAAUUCUGUCAUGCAUCUGUGGUUCUCUAAGCAGUCUUUGCCAGAGGGGCUGUAUGUUCUUAUUAGUUCUUCACUAAGAGAUUACAAUAAAGAAUUAUUCCUUUGAUUCUUAUUUUCUAAUAGGGUAUACUUUAGAGCUCAUGAAAAGCUUAUGAAUCAUAUUUUCUUGUUUUCACUUUUCUUUACCCUUCCUGAAACAAACCUUUGUCUGUGAAGACUAUGUCCUCAAAUCAGUUGGUUAUAACCAUACCUUACGAUUACUUCGUCCAUGUUCUGUGACAGGCUGACAGCAGUCUGAUAUCUCGAUUAUUAUUUUAUUGAUGCUUUGCUUGACACAUACGAUAUCAUUCAUACUCCCACAACCGCAUAGAUAAAGCAGUGUUGUAACACCCCGUCCAAUCCCUAGACCGGCGGUACUUACUCCUGCCAGCUCUCUAGGAUCAUAUAUCGUCUCCACAGACCAACACAGGUCUUUUGUGCGCACUUUGUCCUCACUCAUACGCACCCGAGAAAACUUUCCGGUCGGUCACCCAUCCCAAAUUGCUCCAAGCCAAGCACGCUUGAUUUGGAGGUUCUUUUGAGAUAGGCUUCCGAAAAAAAGAUGCACCUUGUUGGUAUGAAUACUCUAUUAAUUCUAUUAAGCCUUGGGCCAGGAUAUCCCAUCCCAGGGGCCAUUGAUAUCACAAGGGUGGACUCUUUUUUCUAUGUUAACUACACCCUUGAUUUUAUGUUAUAUCAAGGUAUCAAAGCUAUACUAUUCCACAUUUGAUAAAUUCGGUAAAUCUACAUCUAGUUUAUCCAUAUUAGUGCCUUCCAUUUGUGGAUUUUUCUUGAUGUUAAAAUUGUGUUGGCACCCAACUGAAAUAUUUUCACUAGCAAGAACAUAUCCGAUAUUUUGGGGGGCCCAUGAUUAAAACUAUGAUUAAUGGUUAAUAUAAGUGAUAUCUGCUUGAAAUUUUACC